UGGUUCUCUUCUUCCCUCAG
rnacentral:miRNA from 1 species